rnacentral:rRNA from 1 species
UCUGGCUCAGGAUGAACGCUAGCUACAGGCUUAACACAUGCAAGUCAGGGGCAGCAUGGGGUAGCAAUACUCAGAUGGCGACCGGCGCACGGGUGAGUAACACGUAUCCAACCUGCCGCUUACUCGGGGAUAGCCUUUCGAAAGAAAGAUUAAUACCCGAUGGUAUAAAGAGUUCGCAUGUUCUCUUUAUUAAAGAAUUUCGGUAAGCGAUGGGGAUGCGUUCCAUUAGAUAGUUGGCGGGGUAACGGCCCACCAAGUCUACGAUGGAUAGGGGUCUGAGAGGAAGGUCCCCCACAUUGGAACUGAGACACGGUCCAAACUCCUACGGGAGGCAGCAGUGAGGAAUAUUGGUCAAUGGACGAGAGUCUGAACCAGCCAAGUCGCGUGCAGGAAGAAUGUCCUUAAUGGAUUGUAAACUGCUUUUGCAGGGGAAUAAAGUGCAUCACGUGUGAUGUUUUGUAUGUACUCUGCGAAUAAGGAUCGGCUAACUCCGUGCCAGCCGCAGC